GACGAACGCUGGCGGCGUGCUUAACACAUGCAAGUCGAACGGAAAGGCCCUGCUUUUGUGGGGUGCUCGAGUGGCGAACGGGUGAGUAACACGUGAGUAACCUGCCCUUGACUUUGGGAUAACUUCAGGAAACUGGGGCUAAUACAGGAUAGGAGCUCCUGCUGCAUGGUGGGGGUUGGAAAGUUUCGGCGGUUGGGGAUGGACUCGCGGCUUAUCAGCUUGUUGGUGGGGUAGUGGCUUACCAAGGCUUUGACGGGUAGCCGGCCUGAGAGGGUGACCGGCCACAUUGGGACUGAGGUACGGCCCAGACUCCUACGGGAGGCAGCAGUGGGGAAUAUUGCACAAUGGGCGGAAGCCUGAUACAGCAACGCCGCGUGCGGAAUGCCGGCCUUCGGGUUGUAAACCGCUUUCGCCUGUGACGAAGCGUGAGUGACGGUAAUGGGUAAAGAAGCACCGGCUAACUACGUG
rnacentral:rRNA from 1 species